rnacentral:rRNA from 1 species
AGUGAACGCUGGCGGUAGGCCUAACACAUGCAAGUCGAACGGCAGCACAGUAAGAGCUUGCUCUUACGGGUGGCGAGUGGCGGACGGGUGAGGAAUACAUCGGAAUCUACUUUUUCGUGGGGGAUAACGUAGGGAAACUUACGCUAAUACCGCAUACGACCUACGGGUGAAAGCAUGGGAUCUUCGGACCUUGCGCGAUUGAAUGGGCCGAUGUCGGAUUAGCUAGUUGGCGGGGUAAAGGCCCACCAAGGCGACGAUCCGUAGCUGGUCUGAGAGGAUGAUCAGCCACACUGGAACUGAGACACGGUCCAGACUCCUACGGGAGGCAGCAGUGGGGAAUAUUGGACAAUGGGCGCAAGCCUGAUCCAGCCAUACCGCGUGGGUGAAGAAGGCCUUCGGGUUGUAAAGCCCUUUUGUUGGGAAAGAAAAGCAGCAGGUUAAUACCCCGCUGUUCUGACGGUACCCAAAGAAUAAUCACCGGCUAACUUCGUG